rnacentral:lncRNA from 1 species
UGCUCUUUAGCUCUUGUUGUGGCUCUGAGGUCAUUUUCUCUGUGCUUUAUUUAUGAUUCCUGUCUUAUUCCAGGUGAUACUGGAAGAAGCUGUUUAGUUUUUUGACCUUGGGAAUCCAUUCUCCUAUGUUUCAGUUGAUCCACCCUGACGUUGUGGAUGCCCUCUUUCCUCCAUGUUACAGGUCUCUAACACUAGGCAUAUUCACAUCCUUUGAUUAACUUAUUUGAGUGGUAUUUAUUGCAAGCUACUCAUGUGCCAGAGGGUUUUCUAGAGCAUGUGUCCCUUGACCCUCUGAGGAACACUGUGGGAUCUACCUAGUUUUCAAAGCAGACUUGACAUGCCUUAUAAUCUCAUGGCUUCCCCUCUUCCCAUGUCUCAAAGAGACUAUUAUUUCAGAUUCUUAUGCCAGAUAUGCAUCACACAUACAUGAAUGAGUUCCACCAAGGGGAGAAGAGGGACAUUACCUCUCGGUUCAAAUCCAUACCAGAAUAAAAUAAUGUAAGACCCUCUCUUGCACUGAAAAUUUUAACAGGCUUUAAAGCACAGCUCUGAAGUGAUUUUGUAGCAGAUGACACAAAAGCUCUUCAGAGUUUCAUAGCCUCACUGUCUUGAAGGAAAGUAAAUUUUGUUUUAAACUCAGAUCAAAACUGAAUAUGGAAUUUAAAAGGCAAGGUGGCUUUGAAGUUGAAUACAUAAGGUGGGCUUCAAUUAAAAUCUGG